rnacentral:rRNA from 1 species
CAUGCAAGUCGAACGGUAGAGGGGGCAACCCCUUGAGAGUGGCGAACGGGUGAGUAAUAUAUCGGAACGUGCCCAGUCGUGGGGGAUAACGUAGUGAAAAUUACGCUAAUACCGCAUACGAUCUAAGGAUGAAAGCGGGGGAUCGCAAGACCUCGCGCGACUGGAGCGGCCGAUAUCAGAUUAGGUAGUUGGUAGGGUAAAGGCCUACCAAGCCAACGAUCUGUAGCUGGUCUGAGAGGACGACCAGCCACACUGGAACUGAGACACGGUCCAGACUCCUACGGGAGGCAGCAGUGGGGAAUUUUGGACAAUGGGCGAAAGCCUGAUCCAGCCAUUCCGCGUGCAGGAUGAAGGCCCUCGGGUUGUAAACUGCUUUUGUACAGAACGAAAAGGUCUCUAUUAAUACUAGGGGCUCAUGACGGUACUGUAAGAAUAAGCACCGGCUAACUACGUGCCAGCAGCCGCGGUAAUACGUAGGGUGCAAGCGUUAAUCGGAAUUACUGGGCGUAAAGCGUGCGCAGGCGGUUAUAUAAGUCAGAUGUGAAAUCCCCGGGCUCAACCUGGGAACUGCAUUUGAGACUGUAUAGCUAGAGUACGGUAGAGGGGGAUGGAAUUCCGCGUGUAGCAGUGAAAUGCGUAGAUAUGCGGAGGAACACCGAUGGCGAAGGCAAUCCCCUGGACCUGUACUGACGCUCAUGCACGAAAGCGUGNGGAGCAAACAGGAUUAGAUACCCUGGUAGUCCACGCCCUAAACGAUGUCAACUGGUUGUUGGGUCUUAACUGACUCAGUAACGAAGCUAACGCGUGAAGUUGACCGCCUGGGGAGUACGGCC